rnacentral:rRNA from 1 species
AAAGAAACUAACUAGGAUUCCCUUAGUAACGGCGAGUGAACCGGGAUGAGCUCAAAUUUAAAAUCUGGCGUCUUUCAGGCGUCCGAGUUGUAAUCUAUAGAGGCGUUUUCCGCGCCGGACCGCGUCCAAGUCUCUUGGAAUAGAGUAUCAAAGAGGGUGACAAUCCCGUACUUGACGCGACAACCGGUGCUCUGUGAUACGUUCUCAAUGAGUCGAGUUGUUUGGGAAUGCAGCUCUAAAUGGGUGGUAAAUUCCAUCUAAGGCUAAAUAUUGGCGAGAGACCGAUAGCGAACAAGUACCGUGAGGGAAAGAUGAAAAGCACUUUGGAAAGAGAGUUAAACAGCACGUGAAAUUGUUAAAAGGGAAACGAUUGAAGUCAGUCGUGUGAAAGGUAUUCAGCCGUCUCUGGCGGUGUAUUUGCCUUUCACGGGUCAACAUCAGUUUGAUCCGGUAGAAAAAGGCGGGAGGAAGGUGGCACCCUCGGGUGUGUUAUAGCCUCCUGUCAUAUGUGCCGGACCAGACUGAGGAACGCAGCUUGCCGCAAGGCCGGGGUUCGCCCACGUACAAGCUUAGGAUGUUGACAUAAUGGCUUUAAACGACCCGUCUU